rnacentral:rRNA from 1 species
AGCGAACGCUGGCGGCAGGCCUAACACAUGCAAGUCGAACGAACUCUUCGGAGUUAGUGGCGGACGGGUGAGUAACACGUGGGAACGUGCCUUUUGGUUCGGAAUAACUCAGGGAAACUUGUGCUAAUACCGAAUGUGCCCUUCGGGGGAAAGAUUUAUCGCCAUUAGAGCGGCCCGCGUCUGAUUAGCUAGUUGGUGAGGUAACGGCUCACCAAGGCGACGAUCAGUAGCUGGUCUGAGAGGAUGACCAGCCACACUGGGACUGAGACACGGCCCAGACUCCUACGGGAGGCAGCAGCGGGGAAUCGUGCGAAAUGGGCGAAAGCCUGACGCAGCCAUGCCGCGUGAAUGAUGAAGGUCUUAGGAUUGUAAAAUUCUUUCAACGGGGACGAUAAUGACGGUACCCGGAGAAGAAGCCCCGGCUAACUUCGUG